rnacentral:rRNA from 1 species
GCAGCCGCGGUAAUACGUAUGGAGCAAGCGUUAUCCGGAUUUACUGGGUGUAAAGGGAGCGUAGACGGACUUGCAAGUCUGAUGUGAAAGCCUGGGGCUCAACCCCGGAACUGCAUUGGAAACUGUAGGUCUUGAGUGCCGGAGAGGUAAGCGGAAUUCCUAGUGUAGCGGUGAAAUGCGUAGAUAUUAGGAGGAACACCAGUGGCGAAGGCGGCUUACUGGACGGUAACUGACGUUGAGGCUCGAAAGCGUGGGGAGCAAACAGGAUUAGAUACCCC